rfam:Ictidomys tridecemlineatus contig012629, whole genome shotgun sequence.
AUUCCAUCUCUAUUCAGUAAAAAGUUUUGUACUUGUAUUUCACGUUAUUAAGAAAGUGAUGUUGAAAAAAAAAGAUCAAGUGUAGCAUCUGUUCUUAUUGGUUUAAUAUCAGAUAUGUUCUCUAUCUGCAGACAAUAUAUUAAAUGGAUUUUUGGAGCAGCAGGGUGGAAUAAGAGUUUGUGCCCUAUACUCCAUGCAUUUACCUGGUAUCACAGUUCAGGAAUGGAGCACCCCCU